CACGAGCCGUACGAACGUUAUUCGGAAUUACUGGGCUUAAAGGGUUUGUAGGCGGCCUUGUAAGUCAGGUGUGAAAGCCCUCGGCUCAACCGAGGAACAGCGCUUGAUACUGCAAGGCUUGAGGGAGACAGGGGUAAGCGGAACUGAUGGUGGAGCGGUGAAAUGCGUUGAUAUCAUCAGGAACACCGGUGGCGAAAGCGGCUUACUGGGUCGUCUUCCUGACGCUGAGGAACGAAAGCUAGGGUAGCGAACGAG
rnacentral:rRNA from 1 species